ACGGCUCGGCCAUGAUAUUGUCCUGUCACAGCAGUACUGGUUCCGAGUUACUGCUGCUUCGGGACAUGACCAUGGCCGGGCCUCUUGGCCGACGCCGCCC